UCUUUCUAUUUUUUUUUGAAAUGGAGUCUUGCUCUGUUGCCCAGGCUGGAGUGCAGUGGCACACUCUUGGCUCACUGCAACCUCCACCUCCCGGGUUCAAGCGAUUCUCCCACUUCAGGCUCCCAAGUGGCUGGGAUUACAGGCACCCACCACCACACCCAGCUAAUUUUUGUACUUUUAGUAGAAAUGGGGUUUCGCCAUGUUGGCCAGGCUGGUCUCAAACUCCUGACCUCAGGUGAUCCACCCGCCUAGGCCUCCCAAAGUGUUGGGAUUACAGGCGUGAGCCACCACACCCUAGCCCUGAGUCUGUUUAUGCUUCUGUCAGGUGUGGCAUGGGCCUGCCUGGGAGCUAUUCUUUUUCUGUAAAGCACAGGCAGUUAAUCAGUGGUCUCUGGGAAGAAUCCAGCUCAGGGUUAUAUUUCGUUUGACCCACUCAAGUUUUAAAAAGUAAAUUAGUUGCCAAUGUGCAAACAUUAGAAGAGUUCACAGCUUCUCCAACAAUACCUAGAAGUUCAUCCGAUGGUGCCCGCAUUCCCUGCUCCAUCUGGAUGGUGCCCACAUUCCCUGCUCCAUCUGGACGGUGCCCACAUUCCCUCCUCUGUCUAGACAGUGCCCACAUUCCCUGCUCCGUCCGGACGGUGCCCACAUUCCCUGCUCUGUCUGGACGGUGCUCACAUUCCCUGCUCUGUCUAGACAGUGCCCACAUUCCCUGCUCCAUCCAGACGGUGCCCAUACUCCCUGCUCUGUCUAGAUGGUGUCCACAUUCCCUGCUCCGUCUAGACUGUGCCCAUAUUCGCUGCUGGCUGCAAAUGCGAGGAGUUGACAGCAGCCUCCCCUUUACAAGGCAGGAGGUGCCACUGUUCGCCAUUGUCUCCACCUAGGGCUUCACUUGCUUUCUAUCUGCAGACAUCAGAGGGACCCACAUCUCUCUGUUCUGACACGCUGUGUGUUGAUGGCAGAGUUUAAUUAUCCACAUGCAAUCUUACUUUCCUUAUUCCCAAGUCCGUGGGGCUGCCUCAUCAAAGCAUUGUAAGAACUGAUAACCAUCUUCUAGAAGUAUCAUAGUGAUAUUAAGAACACACAUCACAGAUCAUAGUAAAUGGCUUUAAUUUUUUAGCGAAAUCUCACUACUGCAA
rnacentral:lncRNA from 1 species